AUUAUGGUCUUGUGUGACACGAA
rnacentral:siRNA from 1 species